AAAAAACCUAGGCCAUUGAGUCAAUGCAAUCCAACUGCAAACCAAGUGGAUCCUUUGUAUAAAGCAGCAUUCCCUAAGUCAAUCUUCAUCAAGUUUAAUUAUUGGGAUAAGUGAUAAAUUAAGGAAAUAUCAUCAAAGGCUCGAUAGAAUUGUUCACAGACAAAUAUCAUUACCAACCAGAUUUAAGCACAUUCCAUGGCACAUCAAGAAGACUAUUUAAUUUUUCUUUAUGUGCUGAAAGUCUGGAACUUUAGUCUAGGAAAUAAAAGCAAACAGUUGUAUAACAGAUGACAGAAAAGGUUAAGCAAAACUCUGAUAUUUCAUCACAACCAGGACAAGAGCUUAAAUGCUUAUAGUUAUAGGCAGAGGCUAAGAAAUAUAUGCAGACAGCAAUUUUUCAUAACAUAUACUAUGAAAUAAAAAGGCAUAUGGCCACAAAUUAACUAGAAAUCCCAUAUAUCUCAUAUAAGCACAAGGUUCUAAUAAUUAAUUGGGCUACUUACAAGAAGUGUGUCCACUAGGGAAACUUUUGUGUCCUUCCUUGAUGACGCUCUUUACUCCAGUGCACAUAACAUCAGUUGUAACAUUAUUAAACACC
rnacentral:misc_RNA from 1 species